rnacentral:tRNA from 1 species
UCCUGGGUGGCUCAGAUGUUAAAGCAUCUGCCUACAAUGCAGGAGACCUGGGUUUGAUCCCUGAGUCAGGAA